rnacentral:rRNA from 1 species
AGAACGAACGCUGGCGGCAGGCUUAACACAUGCAAGUCGAGCGCCCCGCAAGGGGAGCGGCAGACGGGUGAGUAACGCGUGGGGAUAUGCCCAAAGGUGCGGAAUAACUCAGGGAAACUUGAGCUAAUACCGCAUGUGCCCGAAAGGGGAAAGAUUUAUCGCCUUUGGAUUAACCCGCGUCAGAUUAGCUAGUUGGUGAGGUAAUGGCUCACCAAGGCGACGAUCUGUAGCUGGUCUGAGAGGAUGACCAGCCACACUGGGACUGAGACACGGCCCAGACUCCUACGGGAGGCAGCAGUGGGAAUAUUGGACAAUGGGCGCAAGCCUGAUCCAGCCAUGCCGCGUGAGUGAUGAAGGCCUUAGGGUUGUAAAGCUCUUUCGACGGGGACGAUAAUGACGGUACCCGUAGAAGAAGCCCCGGCUAACUUCGCGCCAGCAGCCGC